GCUUCAUGGACGGCUAGACAGCAACAAAGAACAACCGAAACCUUCAACAUUUCCUCUUUCAAAACUCAUGCAAAUCACCACCAAAUCUUCUCAAAAUUUAGCACCACUUAGCCUAAGCCUUGGAGUUCACAUCUAGCUAAAAAGGGGAGGAUUUGCACGGCUCACUUAGGAGCAAGGAAGAACCGAAUCUCUGUCUUAAACAUCAACCAAGAGCACACACGAGAACCUCCAAGAGGACCCUACCGUGGAAGUUUGAACUCUCUCUCCAACCUACUUGCUUGCAUAACUUGGUGUGAACUCGGAGGUGAAAUGGAGAAACCCUCCUGAUGUACUUUUGUUUAGGGUUUGCUAUUACUCUUGGUUAUGCCUUUGGUUUUGGAUUGUACUUUUGGGUAUGGAAAUGUAACUUUUGGGGCGAAAUGUAUUUUGUAUACCGACGUGUGGAUUGAAUAAUGGAUGAUGAUUAUUAAGCUUGAA